rnacentral:misc_RNA from 1 species
AGCGCGCCCCGACUUGAGUGGAGCUCUUUUUUUGCUGAGGGAAAAGCUUUGGCAAAAAAAAGCGGGAACGGAAGGCGGAAAAAGGC